GAACGGUAACAGGAAGCAGCUUGCUGCUUUGCUGACGAGUGGCGGACGGGUGAGUAAUGUCUGGGAAACUGCCUGGUGGAGGGGGAUAACUACUGGAAACGGUAGCUAAUACCGCAUAACGUCGCAAGACCAAAGAGGGGGACCUUCGGGCCUCUUGCCAUCGGAUGUGCCCAGAUGGGAUUAGCUAGUAGGUGGGGUAACGGCUCACCUAGGCGACGAUCCCUAGCUGGUCUGAGAGGAUGACCAGCCACACUGGAACUGAGACACGGUCCAGACUCCUACGGGAGGCAGCAGUGGGGAAUAUUGCACAAUGGGCGCAAGCCUGAUGCAGCCAUGCCGCGUGUAUGAAGAAGGCCUUCGGGUUGUAAAGUACUUUCAGCGGGGAGGAAGGGAGUAAAGUUAAUACCUUUGCUCAUUGACGUUACCCGCAGAAGAAGCACCGGCUAACUCCGUGCCAGCAGCUGCGGUAAUACGGAGGGUGCAAGCGUUAAUCGGAAUUACUGGGCGUAAAGCGCACGCAGGCGGUUUGUUAAGUCAGAUGUGAAAUCCCCGGGCUCAACCUGGGAACUGCAUCUGAUACUGGCAAGCUUGAGUCUCGUAGAGGGGGGUAGAAUUCCAGGUGUAGCGGUGAAAUGCGUAGAGAUCUGGAGGAAUACCGGUGGCGAAGGCGGCCCCCUGGACGAAGACUGACGCUCAGGUGCGAAAGCGUGGGGAGCAAACA
rnacentral:rRNA from 1 species